rnacentral:rRNA from 1 species
CCUCUUACCAAGUUUCCCCGGGAGGAAAGUUGCAAAGCACUUUGAAGAGAGAGUUAAAGAGGACGUGAAACCGAUGAGGUGGAAACGGACAGAGCUGGCGUAUCUGGUCUGCAUUCACCCGUUUGUUGCUGUACGUUGAGCUGCUAGCCUCCAGACUGGGGUUGGCUGUCCUUCUGUUCAGUGGCGAAUGGGGCAUUUGCAGGCGGAGUGCGCUGAGAUGCUCGGAGUAGCUGCGUGAGCUCGGUCUUGAGGCCAGCCUUUCGGGGUCUGGUACCCGGAUCGGGGGAGUGCUGUUUACUCUGGGUGAAUUGUGCAAUGGUUUCGGGUCCGUGUUGGCUCGAGCUGGGGGUCGGUGGCGGUCGCGUGCGACACGUACCAGCAACCAGUUCGGUCCAGCUCGGGCUCUCAGUUGUGCGUUCUCGGUGUAAAAGCCGGUCAUCUGUUCGACCCGUCUUGAAACACGGACCAAGGAGUUUAGCGUAUGCGCAAGUCAUUGGGUGUUCAAAACCCAAAGGCGCAAUGAAAGUGAAGGCUUCUUACGGAGCUGAUGUGUGAUCCCUGGCACUGCGGUGUUGGGGCGCAACAUAGUCCCGUCUCGAUCGCAUGCGAUGGGGCGGAGACAGAGCGUAUGCGCUGAGACCCGAAAGAUGGUGAACUAUUCCUGAGCAGGAUGAAGCCAGAGGAAACUCUGGUGGAAGUCCGAAGCGAUUCUGACGUGCAAAUCGAUCGUCUGACUUGGGUAUAGGGGCGAAAGACUAAUCGAACCAUCUAGUAGCUGGUUUCCUUCCGAAAUUGGAAAC